GCCGAGAGCGUGUCAGGCGGAGCCAGACCAGACCCUCAGCUCAGCUCAGCUAUCACCUCAAGAGAAUUCAGUCCAAGAGAUCUUUUUCUUUUCAUUCCUUCUAGGUCAACUGCAGCUCAAAGUUCAGGGACAGCACGGGCGAAGCCAAAGAUCGCAUGUGUGUUUGUGUUUGGAUUUUCUUCUAUGACUCCCCAUGGGAUGGAGCUAUCCUUAACAGCUUUGAAGUUGCUGGAGUUUUGUCAUCCUGGGGUGCUGAAUAUUUGCAGUUGAUAAUGUCAAAAUCUGUACCCAUGGAAACCGUUUUCCCGACGGCUUCUGCCUAGGACAAGCUCAAAUCUGCUGGAGUUUUGAUUUCAACUUGGUUCAAGAGGUAUCAUCUGGGAUCCUGGAUUUUAACACACGGGCUCGACUCUUCCCGGGGAAGUCACCCCAAGACUGAGGUGGAGAUCAUGCAGGCCAGCUGGGCUGGAGGCUGCACUUCUGCUCCAGGUGGGGGACACAGUGGGACUCCCCGUGCCUCUCUGGGAGAUUUUAUAGGCAUUUGCAAUGACCCCAAAGGCACGAGAUGAAAAGUUCUCUAAAGGUGGUGAACGCUGCCAUCCUAAUUGUGCCCACACUGAGCGACCCUGAGGCCACAACCACAUGCUGUCAACAGCAGGGGGAGACGAGUUCCAAAGAGCCGCUUGGGUGGUGACGCUCAGCAGGACAACCGUGGAGCUCCCAGACAGCCGGUCCCAAGGAGACGUCAUAUUCCCCCAAUCGUUCGUUCAAUCAUUCAUCCAUUAAUUCGUUCACUCUACACAGCCUUGUGGCUCCCCCAUGUCUCUUCUACCAGCAGCCAGAGUCGACUCCCGUGGCCGGCACCCCCCGAACUCUGGGUGAACCUCGUUCAUCUACUGACAUAUCACCCAAGGGCGCUUUCAUGCUACAAAGGCCGGGUGAGGCGAACAGUUGAAACUGAGGCUGGAUGGUCUGAACGCUUAAAAUAUUUACUGUCUGAUUCUUUACAGCAAGUUUCCCAACCCUUGAGGUA